rnacentral:rRNA from 1 species
AUGGAAUCUGAAGUUGAGGUGAAUACUGUUAUACCAUUGCAGACCCAUGACAUGCAGUCUGAUGCAGAAUCAACUACUCGAGUUAAUCCACGUCUCGAUAUAGGGUUUUUCACACCAACAAAAUCCACAAGCAUCCCCACAUGUGAUUCAUUCUACACACCAGAUUGUGAUGAAUCCAUAACUCCAACUAUUGGGAUGUAUUUUUCUGAUGUGAACACAGCAAAGGGGUUCUAUGAGGUAUAUGCACACCAUGUUGGGUUUUCAGUUCGUGUGGGCCAACACAAGUCAUCCAAUGGUGUCAUGACGCACAAGCAAUUCAUGUGCGCGAAAGAAGGUUUCCGUGAGGAGAAGAUAGGUAAUAUAAUUUCCGAACCUGCCACCAAAAGAAGACGUGAAAGAAAAAUUACUAGGUGUGGGUGCGGGGCAAAAAUUGCAAUCAAGUGUACAACCGAUGGUCGGUAUAUUGUCACCGUCUUUGAGAAAGUGCAUAACCAUGCACUUGUUUCCCCUAGUAAGCAGCAGUUCAUUAGGUCAAAUAGGAAAGUCAGCUGUAAGGCACAGAGUACAUUGUUCAAUUGCCAUAGUGCUUGCAUUGGGACUUCAGCGGCAUACCGGUUCCUUCGUGUUGGUUUGGGGGGUUUCCAAAAUGCCGGAUGCACAAAAAAAGAUCUCCAAAAUUUCCAUAGAACCCUCAGAUGCCACAUAAAGUCUUCUGAUGCUCAAAUGUUUAUCGACCAGCUAGGCAGAAAGAAUCUUGCAAAUCCCGGGUUUUAUUUUGACUAUGUUAUUGAUGACAAGGGAAUGUUGGUUCAUGUGUUUUGUGCGAGAUGCUACUAG